AGCAGCAGAUCUUCUAUGCUCAGCAGCAGGGGAUGGGGACUAAUAAUGUGAAUUUGAUGGCUUCUCAUCAGCCGUACCAAACUGGCAUCAUUCAACAGGCUGUUGCAUCAGCAGCAGAUGGUUCAAACCCGAAUCCUCCGGUCCAGCAGCAGCAGAUUGAUGGAUCAUCUCAGCUCCUGCAAUAAUUUGGCUCGUGGGCUAUCUUUUGUUUUUGUUGUAAUUUUGUUUCAUUAAUUUUUUGUUUGGGAUAAUAGAGACCCCCUUGAAUUAAACAUAAAAUGGUCAAGUUAUUAUAAAUAGAAAUAAAUACUUAGCACAAUUUCUCUUAUUAAAGACUUGUACUUUGUUUGCUUGGUUGCUACUUCGCACCAUAAGCUUUUUGAAAUCUGUGUUCUGUAAAAUUAACGUGUGUACACAUCUUUAACUGGUUGAAUAGUGAAUCCUUAAAGC
rnacentral:lncRNA from 1 species